UUGGUCAUGAUGUUUGUGCAGGAA
rnacentral:piRNA from 2 species